rnacentral:lncRNA from 10 species
AAAAUGGGAGUUUUCCUGCACAAGCUCUCUCUCUUUGCCUACUGCCAUCCAGGAAGACGUGACUUGCUUCUUCUUGCCUUCCACUAUGAUUGUGGGAAGGCCUCCCCAGUCAUGUGGAACUGUGCUGUGUGAAGAAUGGAAACAUGCAACAAUAAAGACACCAGUCCUGGUGGACCUGAUGGCCUAUGUCUGGUGUGGCGGGGGACAGAUAAGUAAACAGAUCGUCCUAUACGGGGUAGCCAACGCUAUCAUCUGAUAGAAGGAUGAUGUAAUAGCCAGAAAAAUAAGUGAACAGAAGAUUCCGGGUUCUACUUUAUGCCAAUUUUUCUUAAAUAUCUCAGUCACUAGAAAAAGAUCUAUUUGAAAAUCUUGCUCUGAGCAGUUUCUGUCUUGGGCCCAGUUGUUUGAGGAGCCUGUUGAAUUUUUAAAUUUAUUAGUGUUCCCAUGCUUCAUUCAUUGGCAUAUAUGUAUAUUCUCUAUACUUUAUAAUUACAAGUAAGCUCUUGAUAAUAAAAAGUAACUGUCAUUCUGUGAAGCUCUUUAAUGCAGCCAAAGAUAAUUUCAGGGGGCAAUUGGCAGUCUAAGUCCUUGCUUUCUCUCAUUUUAAAGGAGAACCAAAUCAACUUAGAGUGAAUUUGUUCAAAUGUGGGUAAGAUUUAACAGGCACUUCAGCUGCCCAGGGUACUUUUCCAUGUCUCUCCAACCAACCCCACCCAAAUAGCUUAGGAUUGGCAUUUUCUGAUGAGCACAGGGAUAGAGAAUGAGAACGGAGUCAGGUCCUCAGGUAUUCAAGGUUAGAAUUCCUUCUUAACCUUGCCCACUAUGCCCUAUGUGGGGACAUGCUACAGCAGAGAUCACUUGAGAAUUAUCCUGUGGCUCACACUGCCAUAAUUAGUUAUCUGUUCGGCACCUCUCAACUAAUCAGAACAAUGGCACAUCCAAAAGUAAAAGGAGAAGAAAGGAGACAAGAAUACAGCGACUGAAUAAUAAAA